AAGAAGGGAAAAAAAAAAAAAAAAACCCGGGUGGAGGGGGGGGUGGGGGGAAGCGGUGAGUGGGAACAACCACCGCGAAAUGACAGCGAUUUACAGCACAAACCUGCAGCGCCCUGUCCCCUGCCCCACCUGCUGCCAACGUGGGCAGCGCGAGGCCCCCUUCCCAAUGUGACAGUGACAGCUCUGGCGGCCUGAAAAGUAGUAAUACAACAGCAAGGCAGAGGGACCUCGCUGGGCGGUGGGGAUGCAGGCAGAAGCUCCUGGAGGGUGAGGACUGCAUUUCAUCUCUGCCUCCCACCCCUCACUACCCAGCACCAGCCUAUAGUUUAAUACAGAGCACAUUCUACAGUCAAUGAUGAAGUAACUACUGCCAUGUGGUGGGUGAAAGGCCUGCAGACCCUCCUAAAGCCCCUUUCCUGCGGCAGAACCAACAAAAGUAGUAGUAGAAGAGCUCAGAGAGCAGGAGCAGUCUAGGGACUCCUGGAGCUUGUGGAGCCGGACCUCCAGAGGAGCAAAAACCAUAGCCAGGAGUAAACAUGGAUUGAGUUGAGCUGCUCUUCCGACCCCGAAGAGGACCAGAAGAAAAGCAGUAUUGCUGGGAUGUGUCAGCCGAGGAGCUACCUUACUGGAAUGACUGUUGUCCCCACUUUCCUUUACGCAAUGAAGAAUUAACUGUUCAGGUACAGCCCUCUGCCUCCUACAAUAUAUCUUAUGACACAGAAGGAGAAUUUUAAUAAGACUUCCAAGGGGUCUGCUGCCAUUUUUUAGAGGAGGGAAGGUGUCCUGCAAAGGAAGUGCAUGGAAACUCUCAAGAGGAAGCUGUUGAAAACACCCCCAGUGAGAGGAACGGGUGUCAUCCCAUUUUAUUGUCUACCUGUCACCACAGCCCUUGCAUGAUUCUGACAGGCUGCUCUUUUCUCUUGUAGCCAUUGCUGCUUUAUGUCAUUUUCUUGGUUGAACAUCUUUAUUUCUGACUUGUUACAAACCAUUAACUAGUUUCCAGGUUUCAGUGUCCUGGAUACUUUUGACUAGUAAGUCAUUUGGCAUAACAAGGUUUCCCUUUAUCUUCUUGUGAAAGAAAAUCUCUACAUGAAAUGAUCAAUGUUCCAAUUUUUAUGAAUCCUAGCAGAUAGGAAGUGCCUGUCAUCGGAUGCAAGGCAUCUUUUCUGAAAGCAUAUUCUACUUCAUAUAAUGGAACUUGACAGACACACUAGGUAACCGUUAUGCUGUUUGCAGGGAAGCUUUGAACAAUUCAGGGGGGAAAGCAGAGAACUUUACAAAUAUAUUUAACUUGUAAUGGUUGCAAAUAAACACAAUACUGUUUUUAACCAGAUUUCGUGGAUGAAAUGUUUUUAAAUGUAAACUUCUUUGAAUAUAUUUUUUUAAAAUUCAG